rnacentral:lncRNA from 1 species
CUCAACUUCUUCAAACUUCUUUCUCAACCUUAUCAGCUUCUUCCGCUUUCUCAAUUUUUUCAGCCUUCUCAGCUUUCUCAGUCUUUUCAGCUUUUUCGAUCUUCUCAGCUUCCUCGACCUUCUUAGCUUACUCAACCUUCUUUCUUAGUCUUCUCAAUUUUCUCAGCUUCCUCGACUUUCUCAGCCUUCUCAGCUUUUCUGACUUUCUCAGCCUUCUCAGCUUCC